rnacentral:rRNA from 1 species
CGGACGGGUGAGUAACACGUGAGCAACCUGGCUCUAAGAGGGGGACAACAGUUGGAAACGACUGCUAAUACCGCAUAAGCGCACAGGAUUGCAUGAUCUGGUGUGAAAAACUCCGGUGGUGUAAGAUGGACCCGCGUCUGAUUAGCUGGUUGGUGAGGUAACGGCCCACCAAGGCGACGAUCAGUAGCCGACCUGAGAGGGUGACCGGCCACAUUGGGACUGAGACACGGCCCAAACUCCUACGGGAGGCAGCAUG